rnacentral:rRNA from 1 species
GACAGAGGUGCCGAGCGUUAGGCGGAAUCACUGGGCUUAAAGCGUGUGUAGGCGGACUUCUAAGUACCUUGUGAAAUCCCACGGCUCAACCGUGGAACUGCUUGGUAUACUGGUUGUCUUGAGCCACUUAGGGGCAGUCGGAACAGACGGUGGAGCGGUGAAAUGCGUAGAUAUCAGAAGGAACAUCAGUGGCGAAGGCGGCUUCCUGGACCAAUACUGACGAUCAGGUGCGAAAGCGUGGGGAGCAAACAGG